rnacentral:lncRNA from 1 species
UUUGCAGACAUGCAAUAAGUUAAUGAGUAUACAAUUCUCAUUGCACUUCUAGAGUGCCUUGAACUCUCGUAACUCUGAUAUACUCGCGUAUUGAUUAUACUGUCCACACAACCUCCAACUUGGCCUUCUGCAUAUUGAUUAUAUUGUUUGCAUCUGUUAGUAGUUACAGUCUGUUGCACGUGCUUGAUUAGUUUCCCUCUCGUCAAUCUUUUAAGAACCAAGUUUUCUCAGAGUUUCAGUUAUUGACAAGGUGCUGAAAUAAUUCUUUGAUAUGGGUUUCAUAAUAUUUUGGUUGCGAAGAGAUAAGGUUUGAUAUCUUCAUGUGCAAAAUGAAUUUGAUCUUCAUUUUUGAACCAAUGUUACAGUUUAUUUGGUUUUA